CGGAGACUGACCACUCAGGCGAAAUCGCUGCUUGUUUACGCCGCUCUCAUAGUGGUUUCCACUGGAGUGGUGGAAACGUUCCGUGUAGUUGCACCGUCGGUGACCGAACUGAGCUACAAUCUGCUCUACGAGGAGAUGUUUACAGGUUGAGGAUAAAAACUUUCGUCAAAAUACGGGUCCUGAACCUGGCUAGCAUCAAAAAGUAUCCAACGAUGAUUCCACCGUAUGUGUUUUGGAUUGACUGAGGGAAAUGCAGAAACUUUUUUUUCUGUACAUCGUUGAAUCGGAAUUUAUUAAGAAUUUUUUUGAUAAGGCGACAGUUUACUAUCAAACGAUUAACAUAAUAAAAAACGCUGCAUCGAA